rnacentral:rRNA from 1 species
GACGAGGGGUCCAAGCGUUUGUUCGGAAUCAUUGGGCGUAAAGCGGGUGUAGGUGGAUUUGUAAGUCAGGAGUGAAAGCCCCAGGCUUAACCUGGGAAGUGCUUUUGAUACUGCAAAUCUUGAAUGUGGGAGAGGAUGGUGGAAUUCCUGGUGUAGUGGUGAAAUACGUAGAUAUCAGGAGGAACUCCGGUGGCGAAGGCGGCCUCUGGCCCAACCAUUGACACUGAGACCCGAAAGCGUGGGGGAUCAAACAGG